rnacentral:rRNA from 1 species
AUUGAACGCUGGCGGCAGGCCUAACACAUGCAAGUCGAACGAGUGGCGGACGGGUGAGUAAUGUCUGGGAAACUGCCCGAUGGAGGGGGAUAACUACUGGAAACGGUAGCUAAUACCGCAUACCAUCGGAUGUGCCCAGAUGGGAUUAGCUAGUAGGGGGGGGAACGGCUCACCUAGGCGACGAUCCAUAGCUGGUCUGAGAGGAUGACCAGACACACGGGAACUGAGACACGGGCCAGGCUCCUACGUGAGGCAGCAGUGGGGAAUAUUGCACCGUGGGCGCAAGCCUGAAGCCGCCAUGCCGCGUGUAUGAAGAAGGCCUUCGGGUUUUAAAGUACUUUCAGCGAGGAGGCGUUACUCGCAGAAGAAGCACCGGCUAACUCCGUGCCAGCAGCCGCGGUAAUUC